rnacentral:rRNA from 1 species
AACGAACGCUGGCGGCAGGCCUAACACAUGCAAGUCGAGCGAACCCUUCGGGGUUAGCGGCGGACGGGUUAGUAACGCGUGGGAAUAUACCCUUUGGUACGGAAUAGCCUCGGGAAACUGAGAGUAAUACCGUAUGUGCCCUUCGGGGGAAAGAUUUAUCGCCAAAGGAUUAGCCCGCGUUGGAUUAGAUAGUUGGUGGGGUAAUGGCCUACCAAGUCUACGAUCCAUAGCUGGUUUGAGAGGAUGAUCAGCAACACUGGGACUGAGACACGGCCCAGACUCCUACGGGAGGCAGCAGUGGGGAAUCUUAGACAAUGGGCGCAAGCCUGAUCUAGCCAUGCCGCGUGGACGAUGAAGGCCUUAGGGUUGUAAAGUCCUUUCAGAUGGGAAGAUAAUGACGGUACCAUCAGAAGAAGCCCCGGCUAACUACCGUG